ACAACCUUGAAAUGCGUCGGUCGAUUGAGUAAUUAAAAAUUCAGAAUCUGCGGAGCCAGGGAAUCCGGUAUGAAAGCCGGGGCAGCCGCUGCUGCUGUAAUCGGGACGAAACCGCGAUAUGCCAUUGCCGACAGUCGCCGCCUUAGGUUAGCGACACGGGUGAGAAGGCGCGGGGUAAACAGCAAAACAAGUUUGCAUGCUUUUUACAAAUUCGCGUAAGCUGUUUAUGCAAAGUGGGACAGACGCUUUGCAGUAGGAUGAACGGGAGCCAGAAGACCUACCGGGGAUUCGGAGUUAGC
rnacentral:ncRNA from 1 species